rnacentral:lncRNA from 9 species
AGUGAAGAACAGUCCAGACUAGCAGCAAGAAAAUAUGCCAGAGUUGUACAGAAGUUGGGUUUUCCAGCUAAAUUCUUGGACUUCAAGAUUCAGAACAUGGUGGGGAGCUGUGAUGUGAAGUUCCCUAUAAGGUUAGAAGGCCUUGUGCUUACCCACCAACAGUUCAGUAGUUAUGAGCCAGAGUUGUUUCCUGGUUUAAUCUACAGAAUGAUCAAACCGAGAAUUGUUCUCCUUAUUUUUGUCUCUGGAAAAGUUGUAUUAACAGGUGCUAAAGUCAGAGCAGAAAUUUACGAAGCGUUUGAGAACAUCUACCCUAUCCUAAAGGGUUUCAGGAAGACGACGUAAUGGCCGUCAUGUACUCCUGCCUCCCCCACCACUUGUUUUUUUUAGAAGAAAUCAGUUUUUGGUACAUUUAAUGGUGGUGUUGUGGACGGCCCUGUGUGGUGCAAGGAUGGACGUUCGGUUUAGGUUGCAGCACCAGGUGAAGCUCCUGCACGCGAACCCCACAGGGGUGCCGCAGUUUCUGCACAGAGAACUCCGGAGCGUUCCUGUAAGUUGCUCGUACUGUGCUGCUAUUCGGGCAGCGCUGCCCGGUUAUUUAUAUUUAGAUUUUAAACACUUACUGCUGUUGACAAGUUGGUUUAAGGGACAAAACUUUAAGUGUUAAAGCCACCUCAACAAUUGAUUGGACUUUUUCGUUUAAUUUCUUCCCCAUAAACCACAUUUUUUAUAUUUCUACCAGAAAAGUAAAAAUCUUUUUUAAAAGUAUUGUUUUCUAAUUUGUAACUCCCAGGGGUUAUUUUUGUGCCAGACACAUUCCGCGUUUUCAGUAUUGCAGGACAGAAUAGAAAUGUAUUAAUGAAAACAAAUGGCUGUACAUAUUUUUCUUCCUUCAGAGUACUCUGUACAAUAAAUGCUGUUUAUAAAAGU